UUGGAAGUAAAAGUCGUAACAAGGUUUCCGUAGGUGAACCUGCGGAAGGAUCAUUACCGAGUGAGGGCCCUUUGGGUCCAACCUCCCACCCGUGUUUAUUUUACCUUGUUGCUUCGGCGGGCCCGCCUUUACUGGCCGCCGGGGGGCUCACGCCCCCGGGCCCGCGCCCGCCGAAGACACCCCCGAACUCUGUCUGAAGAUUGAAGUCUGAGUGAAAAUAUAAAUUAUUUAAAACUUUCAACAACGGAUCUCUUGGUUCCGGCAUCGAUGAAGAACGCAGCGAAAUGCGAUACGUAAUGUGAAUUGCAAAUUCAGUGAAUCAUCGAGUCUUUGAACGCACAUUGCGCCCCCUGGUAUUCCGGGGGGCAUGCCUGUCCGAGCGUCAUUGCUGCCCUCAAGCCCGGCUUGUGUGUUGGGCCCCGUCCUCCGAUUCCGGGGGACGGGCCCGAAAGGCAGCGGCGGCACCGCGUCCGGUCCUCGAGCGUAUGGGGCUUUGUCACCCGCUCUGUAGGCCCGGCCGGCGCUUGCCGAUCAACCCAAAUUUUUAUCCAGGUUGACCUCGGAUCAGGUAGGGAUACCCGCUGAACUUAAGCAUAUCAAUAAGCCGGAGGA
rnacentral:rRNA from 2 species